GGAUAGCAGCGCGUUGACCAGCGCAAACGACAUCUUGUCAAUGACUAAACCGCCUCACACGCGGAAGGUCACUGGUUCGAUCCCAGUCGGGACCA
rnacentral:tRNA from 1 species